rnacentral:rRNA from 1 species
ACGCUCGACACCUACGGGAGACAGCAGUGGGGAAUAUUGGGCAAUGGAGGAAACUCUGACCCAGCAACGCCGCGUGAAUGAUGAAGGUCUUUGGAUUGUAAAGUUCUUUUCUAAGGGACGAAGAAAGUGACGGUACCUUAGGAAUAAGCCUCGGCUAACUACGUGCCAACAGCCGCGGUAAUCUGAGCGGGCUGGCAAGGC